rnacentral:rRNA from 1 species
AUUGAACGCUGGCGGCAUGCCUUACACAUGCAAGUCGAACGGUAACAGGUCUUCGGAUGCUGACGAGUGGCGAACGGGUGAGUAAUACAUCGGAACGUGCCUAGUAGUGGGGGAUAACCACUCGAAAGAGUGGCUAAUACCGCAUGAGAUCUGCGGAUGAAAGCAGGGGAUCGCAAGACCUUGUGCUACUAGAGCGGCCGAUGGCAGAUUAGGUAGUUGGUGGGAUAAAAGCUUACCAAGCCGACGAUCUGUAGCUGGUCUGAGAGGACGAUCAGCCACACUGGGACUGAGACACGGCCCAGACUCCUACGGGAGGCAGCAGUGGGGGAUUUUGGACAAUGGGCGCAAGCCUGAUCCAGCAAUGCCGCGUGCAGGAUGAAGGCCUUCGGGUUGUAAACUGCUUUUGUACGGAACGAAAAGCCCCGGGUUAAUACCCUGGGGUCAUGACGGUACCGUAAGAAUAAGCACCGGCUAACUACGUGCCAGCCGCCGCCGUAA